rnacentral:tRNA from 1 species
AGACGCUUAGCUCAGUUGGUUAGAGCACUACCUUGACAUGGUAGGGGUCAGCAGUUCGAGUCUGCUAGUGUCUA